rnacentral:rRNA from 1 species
UACGGGGGGAGCAAGCGUUGUUCGGAUUUACUGGGCGUAAAGGGUGCGUAGGCGGCCGUGCAAGUCUGGCGUGAAAGCCCCGGGCUCAGCCCGGGAAGUGCGCUCGAAACUGCGCGGCUCGAGUGCCGGAGGGGAGAGUGGAAUUCCUGGUGUAGCGGUGAAAUGCGUUGAUAUCGGAAGGAACGCCGGCGGCGAAAGCGGCUUGCUGGACCCCAUCUGACGCUGAGGCGCGAAAGCCAGGGGAGCGGAACGGG